GACGAACGCUGGCGGCGUGCCUAAUACAUGCAAGUAGAACGCUGAAGGAGGAGCUUGCUUCUCUGGAUGAGUUGCGAACGGGUGAGUAACGCGUAGGUAACCUGCCUGGUAGCGGGGGAUAACUAUUGGAAACGAUAGCUAAUACCGCAUAACAGUAGAUAUCGCAUGAUAUCUACUUGAAAGGUGCAAUUGCACCACUACCAGAUGGACCUGCGUUGUAUUAGCUAGUUGGUGAGGUAACGGCUCACCAAGGCGACGAUACAUAGCCGACCUGAGAGGGUGAUCGGCCACACUGGGACUGAGACACGGCCCAGACGCCUACGGGAGGCAGCAGUAGGGAAUCUUCGGCAAUGGACGGAAGUCUGACCGAGCAACGCCGCGUGAGUGAAGAAGGUUGUCGGAUCGUAAAGCUCGGUUGUAAGAGAAGAACGAGUGUGAGAGUGGAAAGUUCACACUGUGACGGUAGCUGACCAGAAAGGGACGGCUAACUACGUG
rnacentral:rRNA from 1 species